CGGGUGAGUAACACGUGAGUAACCUUCCCUUGACUCUGGGAUAAGCCCGGGAAACUGGGUCUAAUACCGGAUAUGACCUCCUGUCGCAUGGUGGGGGGUGGAAAGAUUUAUCGGUCUUGGAUGGACUCGCGGCCUAUCAGCUUGUUGGUGAGGUAAUGGCUCACCAAGGCGACGACGGGUAGCCGGCCUGAGAGGGUGACCGGCCACACUGGGACUGAGACACGGCCCAGACUCCUACGGGAGGCAGCAGUGGGGAAUAUUGCACAAUGGGCGCAAGCCUGAUGCAGCGACGCCGCGUGAGGGAUGACGGCCUUCGGGUUGUAAACCUCUUUCAGUAGGGAAGAAGCCUUCGGGUGACGGUACCUGCAGAAGAAGCGCCGGCUAACUACGUGCCAGCAGCCGCGGUAAUACGUAGGGCGCGAGCGUUAUCCGGAAUUAUUGGGCGUAAAGAGCUCGUAGGCGGUUUGUCGCGUCUGCCGUGAAAGUCCGGGGCUUAACCCCGGAUCUGCGGUGGGUACGGGCAGACUAGAGUG
rnacentral:rRNA from 1 species